rfam:Picea glauca, whole genome shotgun sequence.
AUGUACAUUCCUACAAAAUAGCGUUAAUGCACUGGAUCCCAUUAGAACUCCAGAGUUAAGCAUGCUCAGGCUAGAGUAGUACUGGGAUGGGUGACUACCUGGGAAGUCCUAGUGUUUUACAUG